rnacentral:lncRNA from 1 species
AAUAAUCAAUCUAUUAACUAUAUUAUAUCAUCCUCUCAAAGAAAGGGUUGACUUUAAAAAAGACUAAUAUAAAAGAUUGCAAAACUAAACAUUGGCAAAUCAUCAAAACUUUGAAACAAAAACUAGCAUCUUCAAGACCAAACUCCUCAUCCAAAGAAAAUGAAGCAGAAGACAAAAGCACUUGUGAUUGGAUUAAUAGGUGCAGCUUUUACUUUACUUGCAUACUCACAAACCUUCAUAUCACCAAGUACAAGCAUCACAAUUGGACUUCUUGUUCUCAUGUUGGGGUUCCUAGUAGGAGAAGGUUUCAUAUCUCUUUAAUUCAUCCUUCAUCUAUAUCAUGAAUUUAUUUUACAUGUUUGUGUGUAAUUAGUCUUUAAUGGGAUAUUUUUAAUUUUUGUAAUUCUUAUUUAUUUUUCUUUCAUAUUUUGAGUCUGUUUAAAUAUUGGUGUAUGAAGGAUUGAAGGAAAAAAUUAUUUAUAUUUUGAGGUUAUGUAUUUUGAUUCAUUUGCCUAUUUUCUUUUUAUUUAUAAGUAAUAACCACUAAAACCUACGCAUACAACUUUGAGUUUGAGUUAAAUAUUGGUCAACGAUGGAUUGAAG